GUUAAUUUCUUCUGUAAGUCGCUCUGGAUAAGAGCAUCUGCUAAAUGGCAAAAA
rfam:Salmo salar isolate Sally breed double haploid chromosome ssa11, whole genome shotgun sequence.